UGCUUGGUUACCUAUUUUGAUACCCCCAUUUGUGCAGUGAAAUGUCGGGAAUGCCCCUCAUUUGGGUUCCACAUUGGUUCUUUGGCCAGCCCACAUGUCAGUGAUUGUAAGCUCUUGCGUAUAUGUAUAAUUUUCUUUGUUUUUCCUCCCGUUUCCCAUAUCUCAGACCUCUUUUUCUUUCCCUUUCAAAUCUCAGCUUCGGGUGGUUGGCGAUUUUUGUUGGCUCGCUUUUGAAUCUUGCUUUCUGUCCUUCUCAGCUGUUCGUUUGCUCACUGAACACCAAAUCAGUGUUUCGUUUAUACAAAGGUGAGGACAACUUGGCUACUGCACCAUUUCUUGCUGCUUGAGGGUAAGAUUUAGCUCGUUAGGUAGUGAGUUGCAAAGUUGUAAUGAGAUCUUAAGUUAAUUUUAAUCAAUGAAUUUGAGAGCAUCUUUAUCUGUUUAUUUUGUCAUGCUCUGUUUGGAUUGGAUUUUAGGCGCUGAAAAUUAUGAGCUAAAUUUUAUUUUGAAAUGGGAAGGAUAAUUUAUAUGAUC